rnacentral:rRNA from 1 species
UUUGGAGGGCAAGUCUGGUGCCAGCAGCCGCGGUAAUUCCAGCUCCAAUAGCGUAUAUUAAAGUUGUUGCAGUUAAAAAGCUCGUAGUUGAAUUUCGGGGUUAGUAGGUUGGUCAUGCCUCCGGUAUGUACUGAUCUCACUGAUUCCUCCUUCCUUAUGAACCGUAAUGCCAUUAAUUUGGUGUUGCGGGGAAUUUGGACUGUUACUUUGAAAAAAUUAGAGUGUUUAAAGCAGGCA